rnacentral:rRNA from 1 species
AGGACGAACGCUGGCGGCGUGCUUAACACAUGCAAGUCACGGGGGCCCGCAAGGGUAACCGGCGAACGGGUGCGUAACACGUGAACAACCUGCCCUCGUGUGGGGGAUAGCCGGGCUAACGCCCGGGUAAUACCGCAUACGGUCAUCGAGAGGAGUCUCUUGGUGAAGAAAGCUCCGGCGCACGGGGAGGGUUCGCGGCCUAUCAGCUAGUUGGCGGGGUAAUGGCCCACCAAGGCGACGACGGGUAGCUGGU